rnacentral:rRNA from 1 species
UACGUAGGGUGCGAGCGUUAAUCGGAAUUACUGGGCGUAAAGCGUGCGCAGGCGGUUCGACAAGUCCGAUGUGAAAGCCCCGGGCUCAACCUGGGAAUGGCAUUGGAAACUGGCGGGCUGGAGUGUGGCAGAGGGGGGUGGAAUUCCGCGUGUAGCAGUGAAAUGCGUAGAGAUGCGGAGGAACACCGAUGGCGAAGGCAGCCCCCUGGGCUGACACUGACGCUCAGGCACGAAAGCGUGGGGAGCAAUCCGG